rnacentral:rRNA from 1 species
CCUAGUUGAUCCUGCCAGUAGUCAUAUGCUUGUCUCAAAUAUUAAGCCAUGCAUGUCUAAGUAUGAACUAAUUCAGACUGUGAAACUGCGGAUGGCUCAUUAAAUCAGUUAUAGUUUCUUUGAUGGUACCCUACUACUCGUAUAAUCGUAGUAAUUCUAGAGCUAAUAUGUGCACUAAGUCCCAAAUCUUUGGAAGGGAUGCAUUUAUUAGAUAAAAUGCCAGUACAGGCUUGCCCGCUUCUCUAGUGAAUCAUGAUAACUCGAUGGAUCACACAACCCUUGCGCUGGCGAUGCUUAAUUCAAAUUUCUUCCCUAUGAACUUUCAAUGGUAGGAUAGAGGCCUACCAUGGUGGUGAUGGGUGACAGAGAAUUAGGGUUCUAUUUCGGAGAGGGAGCCUGAGAAACGACUACCACAUCCAAGGAAGGCAGUCGGCGUGCAAAUUACCCAAUCUUGACAUGGGGAAGUAGUGACAAUAAAUAACAAUACUGGGCUCAUCAAGUUUCAUAAUUGGAAUGAGUACAAUCUAAAUCCCUUAAUGAGGAUCCAUUGGAGGGAAAUAUUGGUGCCAACAACCGUUGUAAUUCCAACUCCAAUAGCAUAUAUUUAAGUUGUUGUAGUUAAAAAGCUCGUAGUUGGAUCUUGGGUCGUAAAGGUCGGCCCACCUACUCAGUGUGCACCUGUCCUUCCGUCCCUUUUAUCAGUGGCAUGCUCAUGGCCUUAAUUGGCUAGGUUGUGGUUCCGGUGUUGUUACUUUGAAAAAAUUAGAGUUCUCAAAGCAAGCUUAUGCUCUGAAUACAUUAGCAUGGAAUAAUGCGAUAGGAGUCUGGUCCUAUUGUGUUGGCCUUCGGGACCAGAGUAAUGAUUAAUAGAGACUGUCGGGGGCAUUCGUAUUUCAUUGUCAGAGGUGAAAUUAUUGGAUUUAUGAAAGACAAACCACUGCAUAAUCAUUUUCCAAGGAUGUUUUCAUUAAUCAAGAACAAAAGUUGGGGGCUCAAAGAUGAUCAGAUACCAUCCUAGUCUCAACCAUAAAUGAUGCCAACCAGGGAUCGACAAAUGUUUCUCUAAGGACUCCACCAACACCUUCUGAGAAAUUAGAGUGUUUGGGUUCUGAGGGGAGUAUGGUUGCAAGGCUGAAACUUAAAGGAGGUAAUGGAAGGGCACCACCAGGAGUGGAGCCUGCGGCUUAAUUUGAAUCAACACGGGAAAACUUACCAGGUCCAGACAUAGUAAGGAUUGACAGAUUGAGAGAUCUUUAUUGAUUCUAUGGGUGGUGGUGCAUGGCCGUUCUUAGUUGGUGGAGCGAUUUGUCUGGUUAAUUCCGAUAAUGAACGAGACUGUUAUCACUAAAAUUUCAUUCGCACAUGGUUACAAGAACUCAGCAUCAUCAAUCAGUGAUGAAGUCAUCCAUGGACCUGAAUUAACACCAAAGCAUUCAUAAAGGGUCAA